rnacentral:rRNA from 1 species
GGAGAGAAUAAGAAAAAUAAUUUUUGUAAUUUUAGUAAUUUUUAAUGAAAAUAAAGUAAAGACUAAAGAGAAAAGUACUGUGAAGGAAAGUUGUUAAAACUUUUUAUAGAAGAAGUAAAAUUUUGUGCCUCGUGUAUCAGAAAAAGUUUAUAUAGUUUAAUUACAAUAAGUAUCUCGAAAUAAAAUACAGUAAUUUUUAUAAAAUUUUCUUUUUAGAAAAAAAGAAUUUAAUAUAAAAUUUAAAGUGAAAUGCUAGCUGAGUUUUAUGAUAUCUAGUUUUUUUAAAAAUAAAUUUAAUUUAAUUUUUAUAAAGAAAAAGUUAUAAAAUUAAAUGGUAGGGGGGAUUAGCUCUUUACGGAAAAGAUAAUGAAAUAGUUAAAUAAAAGUAAAUUAUAUAAAUUAGGCUUAGAAGUAGCUAUAUUGAAAAAGUGUUUUAACUAAAUUAUAAUUGCUUGAAUAUUUAAAAUAAAACUUUUCUUAGGUAUAAAAAAAUGGCUUAAACAAAACAAAACAAGAUAUGAUGAUUUUAUUAGUAAAAUUUAUUGAGUAAAUAAAGAUAUUAAAAGGUAAAAAUUGUUUAAAAAAAUAAGUA